rnacentral:rRNA from 1 species
UACGGGGGGAGCAAACGUUGUUCGGAUUCAUUGGGCGUAAAGGGUGCGUAGGCGGCGCGGUAAGUCGGGUGUGAAAUCUCGGGGCUUAACUCCGAAACUGCAUUCGAUACUGCCGUGCUUGAGGACUGGAGAGGAGACUGGAAUUUACGGUGUAGCGGUGAAAUGCGUAGAUAUCGUAAGGAAGACCAGUGGCGAAGGCGGGUCUCUGGACAGUUCCUGACGCUGAGGCACGAAGGCCAGGGGAGCAAACGGG